UCUUCCGCAAUGGGCGAAAGCCUGACGGAGCAACGCCGCGUGAGUGAUGAAGUUCUUCGGAACGUAAAACUCUGUUGUUCACGACGAACGAGGGGACCAGGAAAUGGGUUCCCAGUGACGGUAGUGAACGAGGAAGCCACGGCUAACUACGUGCCAGCAGCCGCGGUAAUACGUAGGUGGCAAGCGUUGUCCGGAUUUAUUGGGCGUAAAGGGAACGCAGGCGGUCUUUUAAGUCUGAUGUGAAAGCCUUCGGCUUAACCGAAGUAGUGCAUUGGAAACUGGAAGACUUGAGUGCAGAAGAGGAGAGUGGAACUCCAUGUGUAGCGGUGAAAUGCGUAGAUAUAUGGAAGAACACCAGUGGCGAAAGCGGCUCUCUGGUCUGUAACUGACGCUGAGGUUCGAAAGCGUGGGUAGCAAACAGGAUUAGAUACCCUGGUAGUCCACGCCGUAAACGAUGAGUGCUAAGUGUUGGAGGGUUUCCGCCCUUCAGUGCUGCAGCUAACGCAUUAAGCACUCCGCCUGGGGAGUACGGUCGCAAGACUGAAACUCAAAGGAAUUGACGGGGGCCCGCACAAGCGGUGGAGCAUGUGGUUUAAUUCGAAGCAACGCGAAGAACCUUACCAAGUCUUGACAUCCUUCUGACCGGUACUUAACCGUACCUUCUCUUCGGAGCAGGAGUGACAGGUGGUGCAUGGUUGUCGUCAGCUCGUGUCGUGAGAUGUUGGGUUAAGUCCCGCAACGAGCGCAACCCUUAUUGUCAGUUGCCAUCAUUAAGUUGGGCACUCUGGCGAGACUGCCGGUGACAAACCGGAGGAAGGUGGGGAUGACGUCAAAUCAUCAUGCCCCUUAUGGCCUGGGCUACACACGUACUACAAUGGCGUCUACAAAGAGCGGCAAGCCUGUGAAGGCAAGCGAAUCUCAUAAAGGACGUCUCAGUUCGGAUUGAAGUCUGCAACCCGACUUCAUGAAGCUGGAAUCGCUAGUAAUCGCGAAUCAGCAUGUCGCGGUGAAUACGUUCUCGGGCCUUGUACACACCGCCCGUCAAACCAUGGGAGUUGGUAAUGCCCGAAGCCGGUGGCAUAACCCUUCGGGGAGUGAGCCGUCGAAGGCAGGACCGAUGACUGGGGUUAAGUCGUAACAAGGUAUCCCUACGGGAACGUGGGGAUG
rnacentral:rRNA from 1 species